ACCAGGAUAGCCGAGUGGUUAAGGUUUUGGACUUAAGAUCCAAUAGGCCUAUGCCUGCCUGGGUUCAAGCCCCAUUACUGGUA